AGGGUUGGGGGGCUGUGGGAGGCUAUGGGGCUUCCUGGGUGCCUGUGGGGGCUGUAGGGCUGGGAGGCUGGGGGGCUGGAGCUCUGGCUGGGCGGCUCAGGGCUCCGGGCCACCGGCCUGUCCCACCAGGUUUGGAGAUGGCUACAUGAUCACGGUGCGGACCAAGAGCAGCCAGAGUGUGAAGGACGUGGUGCGGUUCUUCAACCGCAACUUCCCGGAAGCCAUGCUCAAGGAGCGGCACCACACAAAGGUGCAGUACCAGCUUAAGUCGGAGCACAUCUCGCUGGCCCAGGUGUUCAGCAAGAUGGAGCAGGUGUCUGGCGUGCUGGGCAUCGAGGACUACUCGGUCAGCCAGACCACACUGGACAAUGUGUUCGUGAACUUCGCCAAGAAGCAGAGUGACAACCUGGAGCAGCAGGAGACGGAGCCGCCAUCCGCACUGCAGUCCCCUCUCGGCUGCUUGCUCAGCCUGCUCCGGCCCCGGUCUGCCCCCACAGAGCUCCGGGCACUUGUGGCAGACGAGCCCGAGGACCUGGACACGGAGGACGAGGGCCUCAUCAGCUUCGAGGAGGAGCGGGCCCAGCUGUCCUUCAACACGGACACGCUCUGCUGACCACCCAGAGCUGGGCCAGGGAGGACACGCUCCACUGACCACUCAGAGCUGGGCCAAGGACUCAACAAUGGGGACAGAAGUCCCCCAGUGCCUGCCAGGGCCUGGAGUGGAGGUUCAGGACCAAGGGGCUUCUGGUCCUCCAGCCCCUGUACUCGGCCAUGCCCUGCGGUCACUGCGGUUGCCGCCCCUAAUUGUGCCAAAGGCUGACCCGGCCCGGGCUGCGCACACCCUUGCCCUGCUUUGCCUUAAAGCCUCGGGGUCUGCCCGGCCCC
rnacentral:sRNA from 1 species